rnacentral:rRNA from 1 species
AGCGAACGCUGGCGGCAGGCUUAACACAUGCAAGUCGAGCGGGCGUAGCAAUACGUCAGCGGCAGACGGGUGAGUAACGCGUGGGAACAUACCUUUUGGUUCGGAACAACACAGGGAAACUUGUGCUAAUACCGGAUAAGCCCUUACGGGGAAAGAUUUAUCGCCGAAAGAUUGGCCCGCGUCUGAUUAGCUAGUUGGUGAGGUAACGGCUCACCAAGGCGACGAUCAGUAGCNGGUCUGAGAGGAUGAUCAGCCACAUUGGGACUGAGACACGGCCCAAACUCCUACGGGAGGCAGCAGUGGGGAAUAUUGGACAAUGGGCGCAAGCCUGAUCCAGCCAUGCCGCGUGAGUGAUGAAGGCCUAGGGUUGUAAGCUCUUUUGUGCGGGAAGAUAAUGACGGUACCGCAAGAAUAACGCCCCGGCUAACUUCGUGCCAGCCGCCGCCGUAAU